GGUCAAGCAAGUUCAGUCGGUAGAGAAUGAGACUCUUAACCUCAGGACUGUGGGUUCAAGUACCACGUUGGUCA